rnacentral:rRNA from 1 species
GAUGAACGCUGGCGGCGUGCUUAACACAUGCAAGUCGAACGGGAUCCAUCAGGCUUUGCUUGGUGGUGAGAGUGGCGAACGGGUGAGUAAUGCGUGACCGACCUGCCCCAUACACCGGAAUAGCUCCUGGAAACGGGUGGUAAUGCCGGAUGCUCCGACUCCUCGCAUGGGGUGUCGGGAAAGAUUUCAUCGGUAUGGGAUGGGGUCGCGUCCUAUCAGGUAGUCGGCGGGGUAACGGCCCACCGAGCCUACGACGGGUAGCCGGCCUGAGAGGGCGACCGGCCACAUUGGGACUGAGAUACGGCCCAGACUCCUACGGGAGGCAGCAGUGGGGAAUAUUGCACAAUGGGCGCAAGCCUGAUGCAGCGACGCCGCGUGCGGGAUGACGGCCUUCGGGUUGUAAACCGCUUUUGAUCGGGAGCAAGCCUUCGGGUGAGUGUACCUUUCGAAUAAGCACCGGCUAACUACGUGCCAGCAGCCGCGGUAAUACGUAGGGUGCAAGCGUUAUCCGGAAUUAUUGGGCGUAAAGGGCUCGUAGGCGGUUCGUCGCGUCCGGUGUGAAAGUCCAUCGCUUAACGGUGGAUCUGCGCCGGGUACGGGCGGGCUGGAGUGCGGUAGGGGAGACUGGAAUUCCCGGUGUAACGGUGGAAUGUGUAGAUAUCGGGAAGAACACCAAUGGCGAAGGCAGGUCUCUGGGCCGUUACUGACGCUGAGGAGCGAAAGCGUGGGGAGCGAACAGGAUUAGAUACCCUGGUAGUCCACGCCGUAAACGGUGGAUGCUGGAUGUGGGGCCCGUUCCACGGGUUCCGUGUCGGAGCUAACGCGUUAAGCAUCCCGCCUGGGGAGUACGGCCGCAAGGCUAAAACUCAAAGAAAUAGACGGGGGCCCGCACAAGCGGCGGAGCAUGCGGAUUAAUUCGAUGCAACGCGAAGAACCUUACCUGGGCUUGACAUGUUCCCGACAGCCGUAGAGAUAUGGCCUCCCUUCGGGGCGGGUUCACAGGAGGUGCAUGGUCGUCGUCAGCUCGUGUCGUGAGAUGUUGGGUUAAGUCCCGCAACGAGCGCAACCCUCGCCCUGUGUUGCCAGCACGUCAUGGUGGGAACUCACGGGGGACCGCCGGGGUCAACUCGGAGGAAGGUGGGGAGGACGUCAGAUCAUCAUGCCCCCUACGUCCAGGGCUUCACGCAUGCUACAAUGGCCGGUACAACGGGAUGCGACACGGCGACGUGGAGCGGAUCCCUGAAAACCGGUCUCAGUUCGGAUUGGAGUCUGCAACCCGACUCCAUGAAGGCGGAGUCGCUAGUAAUCGCGGAUCAGCAACGCCGCGGUGAA